rnacentral:lncRNA from 1 species
UCAAUUUGGCCUUCAAACGCUAUAUCCCCUAUUAUAGAGCUCACUUUCCAUGACCACGCUCUUAUAAUUAUUUUCCUAAUUAGUUCCCUGGUCCUAUACAUUAUUUUCCUAAUACUCACCAAAAAAUUAACUCAUACUAGCAUCAUAGAUGCCUAAAAAAUCGAGACUGUCUCAACUAUUUUACCUGCCAUUAUCUUAAUUUUAAUUGCCCUCCUAUCCUUACGUGUUCUGUACAUAACAGAUGAGGUUAACAACCCUUCUAUCACUGUCAAAGCAAUUGGCCACCAAUGAUAUUGAAGCUAUGAAUAUACAGGCUAUGAAGAAUUAGUCUUCGAUUCUUAUAUAGUCCCAACAGCAGACUUAAAGCCAGGAAAACUUCGAUUCCUGGAUGUUGAUAACCAAACAAUUCUCCCAGUAGAGAUCCCCAUCCGUAUAUUAAUCUCAUCCGAAGAUGUCCUGCACUCA